rnacentral:rRNA from 1 species
UGGGGAAUAUUGCACAAUGGGCGAAAGCCUGAUGCAGCAACGCCGCGUGAGUGAUGAAGGCCUUCGGGUUGUAAAGCUCUGUCUUUUGGGACGAUAAUGACGGUACCAAAGGAGGAAGCCACGGCUAACUACGUGCCAGCAGCCGCGGUAAUACGUAGGUGGCAAGCGUUGUCCGGAUUUACUGGGCGUAAAGGAUGCGUAGGCGGAUUUUUAAGUGAGAUGUGAAAACCCUAAGCUUAACUUGGGGACUGCAUUUCAUACUGGAAAUCUAGAGUGCGGGAGAGGAGAAUGGAAUUCCUAGUGUAGCGGUGAAAUGCGUAGAGAUUAGGAAGAACACCAGUGGCGAAGGCGAUUCUCUGGACCGUAACUGACGCUGAGGCAUGAAAGCGUGGGUAGCAAACAGGAUUAGAUACCCUGGUAGUCCACGCCGUAAACGAUGAGUACUAGGUGUAGGAGGUAUCGACCCCUUCUGUGCCGCGUUAACACAAUAAGUACUCCGCCUGGGAAGUACGAUCGCAAGAUUAAAACUCAAAUGAAUUGACGGGGUCAUAGCUG